CCCUGGCAGGGUGCAGAGCAAGGGCUGGGCUUUCACUGGCUCCCUUUUAUUUUAUCCCCGUGUUAAAGCUACAGAAGAAGUGCAAGAAUUCUUGUUUUUUGGGCCAGAAAUUGAAGGGGAGAUAAGAAGCUGGGGUCAAGGUCAAAUAGCUCCUUCAAGGUGGUGCUGGAAUUGGGAGCCAGAGGGUCUGAGCUCUGACUGCCAAAGCCAAGUUCUUACUGUCAAAUCCAGAUGCCAGAGACAGAUUGGAAAUGAAACAGAAUUACAACAGUGAUGAUCCUAAUGACCCCAACAAUAAUUCACAGCAAGUCCAACACAAAAGAGAGUCGGCGGCUGAGUAAUGGGCAAGGCAACAUCUUCAUGAAACCAAGGGAAUUGGAGGCUUGGGGCCUAUCAUUCUCUAAAGGACAACUGAGUUUAAUCCCAAAUAGGGAAGGAAAACUUGUUGGAAGAGACAGAUCAGAUGACAGUGCAUACAAUACUGCUGGAGCAUCUGGAGAAGGAAAAGCAGCUGCUCACUGUAUUUUGUAAACAGGUCACAUCGUGGAAAUGGCUGUUUCUUCCACUAUGCAUUUUAAUGUUCAGAAUCCAUCACUUUUGCUGAUGUUUAUAAAGCCCACUUCUAUGUUUCCUUGUUGGAUAUUGUCAGAGGGCCCAGAGGAGGCCUUUAUCUCUGCCAUAAUCUCGGAGCCAGGGGAUGAAAAUCACGGAAGAGUGGAACACUUCACUCAAGGUGUCGAAAUUUAUCGGUGGAGAUAUUUUAUCAGACCUCAUUAUGAGAUGCUAGAAUGCAAGAGCUAUGCUUGUCAUUUUUAUUUCACUCCGGGUACGUUUUGUGGGCCAUUUUGAUGCUAAGACAAAAGUGUGGGAAGCUAAUGACUCUCUGAAGAAAAAAAAAAACAGAA